UCCCGUCUCCCUGGCCUUAGGCUGCGCUCCAAGCUCACCCAGCCUGUGACCAGUUCAAGGAUUUAGACCACCUGCUUAUGUUUGAGGAAUUGCCUAACCCACAAAUUCUGGCAAAGAACAGAGCUCACCUUCUAGUAUGGAAGCUAAAAAAAGGAGAUACUCAUUUUCCAAGCCUCUUUUGCAGAACUUCAGUUUUGUUCAGAGAUCCACCCUGCCCCAUGCAGCCAUGUUCUUCGGGGGAAGUGAGCACUACUGACCAACUCCAAGGUUAUAUCAAAGUUUUAAUGGCUUUUCUGGCAUGCCAAAGGGUCCAGGGGCAGAGAGACUGACAAUCUGGUCCUCAAAGUCAUCUAUCCACAUGGGAUCCUCAGAGAUAUCCAUCAUGCCAUCUGGUCCUUGGUUACAAUCCAUAUGGGUCAUAGCUGAGUGUCAAGGGUCUCAGAUCCAGAAUACCUAAAUGCCUCCCAUGAGAAAGCUGCUAGUUCAGCUCUAACUCUCCAGGCAACAUCAACCUAAAGUGCCCGUGCAGACAAAAAUAGUUCCGGAUCAAGAUUGUGACCAUCUUUCCUCAUUCUCGAAGUCAUCAGAAGAGAUCUCUGAGAAGAUGGGCAAGGAAAUUUGCCACUUGACCAUUAUCUGCUUGCAGAUCCAAAGAUCUACCAAAUACCUUCUGAAAUGAGGUGAGGACAUUGAGGCAUGAGGAAAUUGAAUAAGAUACCCAACCUCAUAGAGCUGAAUACUCAGGCCUUGAAUAAUUGCUCAUCUCAACUAGUGUCCUGUGUUCCUUUAUAUCUUCCCCUUAAUAUACCAAGAUGUUUCCUUACUUCAUAUGCCCAAAUGUAAAGCAAUUCCUUAGUAUUCCGAAGAGAAAAUUCUGUCUCCCACAGAUUGGAGCCUAUCUAAAUAACAAAUUUGUAGCCCCGUAGAUUAAGUAAUCAGAUUGUCUACUUAUAAUACUGU